AGCAGCCGCGGUAAUUCCAGCUCCAAUAGCGUAUAUUAAAGUUGUUGCAGUUAAAAAGCUCGUAGUUGAAUUUCGGGAUCAGUACGCUGGUCGUGCCUUGUGUAUGUACUGGUGUUACUGGUUCCUACCUUCUGAAGAACCGUCAUGUCAUUAAUUUGGUGCGGCGGGGAAUCAGGACUGUUACUUUGAAAAAAUUAGAGUGUUUAAAGCAGGCUCGCGCUUGAAUACAUUAGCAUGGAAUAAUGAAAUAGGACGUUUGAUCCUAUUUUGUUGGUUUCUAGGAUUGACGUAAUGAUUAAUAGGGAUAGUUGGGGGCAUUAGUAUUCAAUUGUCAGAGGUGAAAUUCUUGGAUUUAUUGAAGACUAACUACUGCGAAAGCAUUUGCCAAGGAUGUUUUCAUUAAUCAAGAACGAAAGUUAGGGGAUCGAAGACGAUCAGAUACCGUCGUAGUCUUAACCAUAAACUAUGCCGACUAGGGAUCGGAUGAUGUAUUUUAAUGA
rnacentral:sRNA from 1 species